GGGAGCGUUACAACAUGUCUCUUACAAACAAUAAUUCAGUGGUUGAAAAUCUUCGACCGGCAACUACAUAUGACUGUUAUGUAGUCACAUCUAAUGCUGGAGGUGUGGGAGCAAGAAGCAGAAUACGCACCGUUACUACAUUGAUACAGCCUCCAGUGGUGAUUACAGUACUACAAAUCAGACCCCAGUCUGCCCAAAUCAGUUGGCAACCUAUGGACAAGGUUCUAGUCUACCAAGUUACAGUCAAGAAUUGGAAUUCCCUAGACACUACGAUAUAUUCAAAUACUGUGUUUGGCACCACAUUGGAUGUGCAGAAUAUUUCACCCUGUUCUUCAUACCAAAUCUCAGUGUCUUCACUUAAUGCUCUCUUGGAAUCUGGAGAACCCAGGCAGGUCAACUAUACCACAAACACUCUGGGUCCAGUGACAGCCGUCUCAGUGAGCUACACCUGUGCUAGUGGAUCUGCUGUGGUCUCCUGGACAGCUGUGCUUGGAGCCACUACCUACCGUGCCACUGCCGUAAGUCACAGCGGUGUAGUUCUGUCCUGUUCCUCAAGCACUACAGAAUGUGAAAUCAGAAAUCUAGCAUGUGGGGAGAACUACAUGGUACACG
rnacentral:lncRNA from 1 species